rnacentral:lncRNA from 1 species
GUACAGUUGAAAGCGGUCGCCAUCACUUGUGAGUUUGGCGUCAUCCAUUGUCACCACCGAGGAAUGCGCUUUGGGAGAUAACACCAAGCGCAGGGCUUCGCAAACGCGCAGAGCUCUCUGCCUGUUUCCAGGUGCGCUCCUAUCUGGUCCUCGGUCCCGGGUUCCCAGCAGCUGGGGGGAGCAACCAGGAACCAGUUACCGCGUCUGAACCUCAGGACCAGAGCGGCAGUUCUCAACGAUGGGCAGGUGGGACCUCGGCGGCGACCCCUAAAACAAUACCAUGCUCGGGGAGUCCCUCUGCUGCCGCAUCAGCUUCUUCCCUUUCCACCUCCCUGACCCUGUCGGAUUCGGAUGAGCUAAAGAGACAAGGCCGCCAGGUGAUAAGCAGAACUGCAUUGCUGAUGAUUUUUUUUUUUGAAAAUCCAAAGCUGAAGAGCAAACUAACCGUUGACUGUAAACAACACACAG